AUGACGGAAAAACGUUUACUCAAUGAAAGGAUCAGACAAAUCCAUUUUACCAUAAAUACCCUGGAAGCCAAGCUAGACAAAAGAAAGGAGGAAAUACACCUACUGCUCCCCUCUGAAGUGAUGGAAGAAAUAGCCAAACUUGUUUCCAGGAUUCAGUACACCCAACACACCAGGACCAAGGAACGUCAGAUGCGAAAAUUCACCACCCUACUGGCAAAACACAACCCCAGCGGAACCAACCCCUUCUCCAUGACAGAAAAACAGGACACAUCCCUGUCUGACGCACAACGGGAGAAAUGGGUAAAAAACCUAUCAGACAGGGAGCUUACACAAACCGAAGAGGAAGUGCUUUCCAAAGGUCUGAAUUUUUCAGUCACCCCUGAAGAGGUACCGACUGUCGAACUCAUCACAGCCACUGAGACAGCCAUCAGAAACAACAAACUCCCGGAAGCAGAAGCAGAACAGUUUAGACUUAAGGUAACAGCUGCUUUAGCUAGUGCAAAACCUCCAACCUCCAAUAUCACUAAUAAGGAAAAAAGAGCCAUUGCAUCCUUAGCCAAGGACAAGAACAUCACCAUCUUACCAGCUGACAAAGGUAGGUGCAUGGUCUUACUCAAUACCACUGACUAUGACACCAAAAUAAUCAGUCUCCUGACAGACACCGCUACAUAUGAGAAACUCAAGCGAGACCCCACCAACUCAUACAAGAAGAAUGUGGUAGACUUACUACAGAAACUGGAAAAGGAUAAAGCCAUCGACAGACCACAAUACUUCUGUCUAUAUCCAGGAGAAACCAUCCCUUGCAUAUAUGGAUUGCCCAAGAUCCACAAACCAGGGACCCCUCUCAGACCCAUAGUAAGUAGCAUCAAUUCUGUAACAUACAACAUUUCCAAAUACUUGGCCUACAUCUUGUCUCCCAUGGUUGGCAACACUCCACACCACAUCAAAAACUCCCAAGACUUUGCUCAAAAAGUCAGUGGACUCACACUACUUCCAGAAGAGACUAUGGUAUCUUAUGAUGUCACGUCACUCUUCACGUGCAUCCCCACCGCCAGUGCCAUAGACACCAUCCACAAGCACCUUCUAUUGGACAAGAAUCUUCCAGAAAGAACAACCUUAACACCGGCCCAAAUCUGCACCAUGCUGGACCUGUGUUUGAACACCACCUAUUUCCAGUACAGAGAAGGCUUCUACAGGCAGAAACAUGGCUGUGCCAUGGACUCACCAGUAUCCCCCAUAGUUGCCAAUCUAUACAUGGAGAAGGUGGAAUCCCAGGCCCUGACAUCCUUCACAGGAACUGCGCCAAAGUCACUGGUUCAGGUAUGUGGACGACACCUGGGUCAAAAUUCAAACACAAGAAUUGAAAGCGUUCUCCGAUCACCUCAACAAAAAGGACCAGCAUGA
rnacentral:lncRNA from 1 species